GGCGCCCUGCCAGAGGCGCGCUCCAGCCGCGGGCCCGCCCCCCCGGCCCUCCGAUUGGGCGUCCCCGGGGGUGUGUGGGGGGGCGGGGCGCCCGCGGGGGCCGCCGGCCGGUGGUACGGCCCAGCCACCGGCCUCCAACACCCCUCGCCGCGGCUCAAGUUUCUGCGCCCGGAGGACGCGGCCUCGGCCAAUCCCCGGGCUACAGGGCGCUUUUAAAAUGCAGGCCCAACCCCGUGCAAAUGAAUCCGGGUUUGGAGAGGGUUUCAGCUUACACUUGGGGAGGCGGCAAGCCACUCCCCCGUCCCAAGCCAGAUCAAACAGCUCCCUGGAGGUAUCCCCCAAAGGAAGCCCGUGCAGAGAGCUCCUGGAAGAGAAGAGGUGAGCAGAGGAUUCAUGAGCCCACUAGAGAAGUUGUGGAGGUGCUGCCCAGUUCAUGCAAACAGUAGAAUGCCCAGCAUGUGUCAGACGCUGUACCCCGGGGGUUCAACAGCCAGGAUCCCUGCCCUCAGAGGUGAGUCUAUUAGGGACUAGAGAACGAAACUUCUAUUACGGAUGCUUGCUGUGUCUGAAACUAACAUAGCUACUUGGGUUUCUUUGGAUUUUUUUUUUAAGAUUUUAUUUAUUUAUUAUUAUUUAAGAUUUUAUUUAUUCAUUCUUGAGAGACAGAGAGAGAGAGGCAGAGACAUAGGCAGAGGGAGAAGCAGGCUCCAUGCA
rnacentral:lncRNA from 1 species